GACAUAGGUCGCAAACGUUAUCCGGAAUUAUUGGGCGUAAAGCGCACGUAGGCGGCUUGGCAAGUCGGAUGUGAAAUCCCUCGGCUCAACCAAGGAAGUGCAUCCGAAACUGCUGAGCUUGAGUACUUAAGAGGAUCGCGGAAUUCCCGGUGUAGAGGUGAAAUUCGUAAAUAUCGGGAGGAACACCAGUGGCGAAGGCGGCGAUCUGGGAAGAUACUGACGCUGAGGUGCGAAAGCGUGGGGAGCAAACAGG
rnacentral:rRNA from 1 species